rnacentral:rRNA from 1 species
CAAUAGCGUAUAUUAAAGUUGUUGCAGUUAAAAAGCUCGUAGUUGGAUUUCGGGGUGGCCUGGCUGGUCCGCCGCAAGGUGAGUACUGGUCAGCCGCCCCUCCUCUCGAAAGCCCCGACUGCUCUUUACUGCAGUGGUCGGGUAGUUCGGGACGUUUACUUUGAAAAAAUUAGAGUGUUCAAGGCAGGCUAUCGCCUGAAUACAUUAGCAUGGAAUAAUGGAAGAGGACCUCGGUCCUAUUUUGUUGGUUUCUAGGGCCGAAGUAAUGAUUAAGAGGGACAGUUGGGGGCAUUCGUAUUUAAUUGUCAGAGGUGAAAUUCUUGGAUUUAUGAAAGACGAACUAGUGCGAAAGCAUUUGCCAAGGAUGUUUUCAUUAA